AAGUUAGAAUUAACUAACAUGAGUUUUGACUGAAAAAUUAUCCUUUAAAAUUUUACCAGAUGUUAAUUUUUGAUGAUGACAAUUUUUGAAGUUAUUCCUGAUGAUUAUUCCAAAUCAGCGGCCACGAGACUGCCAACAGUCAGAAAAUAGAAGUAAAAGUAUUCCACUUAUUACAGCUUUUGUGACAUUUUUCAGAGUGCUUUUUCAGCAGCCA